rnacentral:rRNA from 2 species
UCGGAGAGUUUGAUCCUGGCUCAGGAUGAACGCUGGCGGCGUGCCUAAUACAUGCAAGUCGAGCGAACUGAUUAGAAGCUUGCUUCUAUGACGUUAGCGGCGGACGGGUGAGUAACACGUGGGCAACCUGCCUGUAAGACUGGGAUAACUUCGGGAAACCGAAGCUAAUACCGGAUAGGAUCUUCUCCUUCAUGGGAGAUGAUUGAAAGAUGGUUUCGGCUAUCACUUACAGAUGGGCCCGCGGUGCAUUAGCUAGUUGGUGAGGUAACGGCUCACCAAGGCAACGAUGCAUAGCCGACCUGAGAGGGUGAUCGGCCACACUGGGACUGAGACACGGCCCAGACUCCUACGGGAGGCAGCAGUAGGGAAUCUUCCGCAAUGGACGAAAGUCUGACGGAGCAACGCCGCGUGAGUGAUGAAGGCUUUCGGGUCGUAAAACUCUGUUGUUAGGGAAGAACAAGUACAAGAGUAACUGCUUGUACCUUGACGGUACCUAACCAGAAAGCCACGGCUAACUACGUGCCAGCAGCCGCGGUAAUACGUAGGUGGCAAGCGUUAUCCGGAAUUAUUGGGCGUAAAGCGCGCGCAGGCGGUUUCUUAAGUCUGAUGUGAAAGCCCACGGCUCAACCGUGGAGGGUCAUUGGAAACUGGGGAACUUGAGUGCAGAAGAGAAAAGCGGAAUUCCACGUGUAGCGGUGAAA